rnacentral:rRNA from 1 species
GAUGAACGCUCGCGGGAGGCCUAACACAUGCAAGCCGAGCGGUAGAGUCUCUUCGGAGACUUGAGAGCGGCGCACGGGUGCGGAACACGUGUGCAACCUGCCUUUAUCUGGGGGAUAGCCUUUCGAAAGGAAGAUUAAUACCCCAUAAUAUACUGGAUGGCAUCAUCUGGUAUUGAAAACUCCGGUGGAUAGAGAUGGGCACGCGCAAGAUUAGAUAGUUGGUGAGGUAACGGCUCACCAAGUCAGCGAUCUUUAGGGGGCCUGAGAGGGUGAUCCCCCACACUGGUACUGAGACACGGACCAGACUCCUACGGGAGGCAGCAGUGAGGAAUAUUGGACAAUGGGUGAGAGCCUGAUCCAGCCAUCCCGCGUGAAGGACGACGGCCCUAUGGGUUGUAAACUUCUUUUGUAGAGGGAUAAACCUAGAUACGUGUAUCUAGCUGAAGGUACUAUACGAAUAAGCACCGGCUAACUCCGUG